ensembl:lncRNA
GCUGAUUUUUUUUUUUUUUUUUCCAACUUUAUUGUUUUUAGGAACAUUUCUUUGAUGCAGAUAGCAACGAGGGCUACAUUGCAUGUGUAGCAGGAUGGGCCUUUAAUUAGUGCUGCAGUACCGGCCUAUCACUGUUGGGUGCGCUGCCUAUAAAGGUGGGUGGUUGUGCACUGGGAGCCAUCUUGCCUGGGAGCUCCUGGCUGCCCCGCCUCCUGUUAUCACUCCUGUUAUCACUCCUGUUAUCACCGCACCUGAUCGCCUCACCUGAUCGCCUUUUAGCUGGAUCGUGCAGCUCGCCGUUGUUUGGCAGUUAAUUGGCCGGGUCUUCCUUCUCCCGUAUCGACCCCAGUUGUAGGGCGUGCGAGUGUUUUCCUCCUCUACCUGUUGCAGCGGGGAGCGAUCAGCUGAUUGAUCGAGUUGCACUUGUAAUUGUGCUGUUCGGUACAAGUGAUCCCCUUCCUCCCCUUUGAUGUUCAUUCAACUCCUGACGGGUUGACGUGUGUGUGUGUGGGCGGUAUCUGCCAGCACGUUCCCCCCCCCUCUUCACGCUGCUGUUGGCCGGCUGCUGUUUUGUCCACUGGUUUAUAUAGCCAACACAUCCAUCCUACUCUGCAUCUCCUACUGUGCUGUACCUGCCACCGAGUAUGGUGAUUGCUGCCUCAUCCUCAGUCUCAUUAUCUUAAUCUAUUAAUUUAACCGACUUCUAACUGAUCUUAUUGAUGAUAUUAUUUGUGUUUUGUGGGUUGCUUUGCAUGUUUGUUUUUGGUUUAAUUCGUUUUCUUAGUUAUUUUGGGUUUGGCUUAAUUGCUUUAUUUAUUCAUUUGGAUUUAUCAGUUUGGAUAAAUCUCUAUUACCUUUGAUUUCAUUUCUUUGUUGUUAUUUGCCCUCCCCUUUUUGUGUAUUUUGUGUGUGUGUUCGCUUUAGUGUGGUUAUGUGAACAUAUAUUAUUGAGAAGUCAUGUUUAAAGAUUAUAUAUAUUAAUUAAAAGGAAUUGAAUUUGUAUGCUGGACCCAGUCUCAAGCUUUCAUUAGUAAACAAACUUGUGUGCUUUAACUGAGGUUAAUCUAACUCUCCAGGUGAAAUUCCUGGGGUGGCGUUGUUGGCAACUUGUCACUAGUUCUUUAACUAAACUCUAUCUUAUUGGUUCCUCGACCGCCGAAUGCCACACAUGGAAGCUUAAAAACACACAGCGGGACGUCAGCAGUGGCAGCAGUAGGAGUGGAUUUAGGAGAAUAAGCUCUCACACCUCAAACAGCAGUGGACCACAGUUGGAGAGAGAAGUGUCUAAUGAGCACCAGCUGGAGGGAGACCAUGUUGCGAGGCCAUUUCUCUACUGAAACACAGCACGGACAAAGAACAGAUAUUCAUGAAAAUGAAGGCAACCUUCAACCACCGACAACAGCUGAUCCACGAUCCUGAGCAAUGCAGCACAGUUCUUGCACUGUUCCCAAGGUUCCUUGACACGAAAGGUCUUGCAGGACUUUGACCUGUUUUUUAGAGCUGAGACUUCUUCAAAACUUCUUGAGAAAUGGGGAACACUCCUGAAGGUUGAAGUAAUACAGCAAGCCAAAAACCUCAGCAAGACACCCCUUCUUGACUACCUCAUUCAGUCUGCAGAGGAGAACCCUGAUGAGGAUGAAGGUUGGGAUAGUGACAUGGCCUCACUUCUCCUGCUGGUCUACCUCCUGCCACCACCUCCAAGUGGAAAGAAGGGAGCUGUGAAAAUUAGUAUCAGGGAAGCUGUGGAUCGUGUCGUCAAGUUUCACAAGUCAUGUCGCAGCCUUCAGGAACACUCUGGUCCAGACCAGCGGAGGCAGCCCUACAUCCUGGCAGUUGGGACGGCAAGAAACAGCAUCCAUCAGUACUACAUUGCGAUGGAUAAUGGGUUCCUUCCCUGCAAGGCCAGGUCUUCCCUCUCAGCCUUUGAACUUUUCAAGGCACAUUAUGUGUUUGGUGUCUCCUAUGACCAGGCCUUAAACGGCAUGUUUACAUUUGUGCAGACCACCAUCUACAACAUUGACAUCGGGCUCAAGGACCUCAGGGCAAAGCUCCUCAACUGAACUUAUGAUGUUUCGAUGCUGUGUGUGUAAAUCCGCUUUUCACAGCAUUCAGCUGUUGGUCCGCCAUCUCAAACUUUCCCAUGCCUUUUUUCCUGGUAUGCAGUUUCAAUUGGUGUGUGACCAGAAUGGAUGCCGUCAUAGAUUUUGUAGUUUUUCAGGCUUCAGAAAACAUCUUCAGUGCAAGCAUAAUGCUGAAAUUCUAGAUCCAGCUGUUAAUGAACCAGUUACUCCUUCAGUUGUUGUACAUGAUCAGCGAACAGUAUUAACUUUAAUUUCAGAGCAACCAGUGAAUUCUCAAAGUUGUAUUGAGAACAGGCAACAUACCCAAGAAAUGUGUGCAUCCCUUAUUGCAAAACUCCCAAGCAGUGGUGUGGCUACUAAUGUUGUAAAGACUGUUGUUGCAAAUAUGGAGGAGCUUGUAGAGGAAUUGCAUUCAACUGUUAAAGAAGAUGUGAUAAAAUUACUACCCGAUGAGGGCAUGAGAGCAAAAUUUGAUGAAUACUUUGACAGUCUUGAAAAUCCAUUUAGCAAACUAAACACUGAGACAAAAUUGAAAAAAUAUUUCAGUGAGAAAUGUGGUCUUGUAGAACCUGUUGAGGUCGCUCUAGGAGUGAGGUAUGACACCAGAAGGAAUCGAGACACUGGCACAUACGAACAAGUUCCUGUUACAGACAAAUUUGUGUACAUUCCUCUAUUGGAAACACUGAAAUUGAUAUUCAACAACAAGGAGAUUUGUGAUCAUAUUUUGCAGCCUUGUGAGAAAACAGGCGUUUAUAAAGAUUUCUGUGAUGGGAACUAUUUUAAAGAUCCCCCCCCUUUUCUCUGAAAAACCAAACUCUCUCCAAAUACAGAUAUUCUAUGACGAUUUUGAAAUGGCAAACCCACUUGGAUCCAAGCAUGGUAUCCAUAAGAUUGGAAGUAUAUACUUUGUUUUACGAAAUCUGUCUCCAAAGAUAAACUCGGCUCUAAUGAAUAUUCAUCUUCUGGCACUUUUUCACACUGCUGAUAUAAAUAAGUAUGGAUUUCAUACCAUCUUGGAGCCUCUUGUAUAAGAUCUGAAAGUCCUUGAGUGCACAGGAGUGGAACUUCCUUUCUCUGAUGAACCAGUUCGUGGCACAAUUGCUCAAGUAACUGGGGACAAUUUGGGAUUGCACACACUACUUGGGUAUGUUGAAUCAUUCAAUGCCAACUAUUUUUGCCAUUAUUGUCUGAUAGACUGUGCAGACAGUUUUUAGUGAUGAUGAUCCAAGAAUAACGUUCCGCAAUAAAGCACUCCAUGCUCAGCAUUGAAAUGACCUCAUGGCAGAUCCUACACUGGCUUCAACAUUUGGAGUGAAGCGAACGUGUUUACUCAGGCCCCGUUCACAUGAAGCCGAAACGGGCGAAACCGUUACGGUUUCGAUCUAUCCGGUUUCGAAGUAUCUCCGUAAAGACGAAGCCAAGCGAAACCGGGUAGAUCUGUAGAAACUCUGUAGUAAACAUUCCAGGCCCAUAAGGGGCGCUGCUUCUGGUACAGAAAUCCAGAAGAAAUGAAAUAAGAGGCGAGCAUGCGCAUAAAGGCAUAGGCAUAAAGGCUGCCCUUAUGCGCAGGCUCGCAUGUGAUUUCUGAGACUCUGCGGGCUUAAGAGCCAUUGGCUAGGAGGUCAAGGGGUGGGGCGAUGACGUCAUGGUUUGCGGUUUCAGUCGGUUUCAGGCGUACACACGAAUCCAAAACGAAACCGGGUAGAUUUGAAACCACCCCCGAGGGUGGUUUCAGAAGUUUGCGGUUUCGGUCAGCGGAUUCGCCGGCUUCGUGUGUACGGAAGGCCGAACCGUACAAUACCUUUGCGGUUUCGCCAUGAAAUCGGCUUCGUGUGAACGGGGCCUCAAUGAUCUACAGUACUUUCAUGUUUCUGACAACUAUGCUGUAGACAUUAUGCAUGACAUAUUGGAAGGAGUGGGGCAGUUUGAGCUAAAGUUGCUCUUUGGUUACCUCACAGACAACAACAUCAUAUCCAAGACAGAUGUUUGUAACCGGAUAUAUUCAUACAAUUAUGGCUUUGUUGAGCGAAAAAACCGACCAACCAGAAUCAACUUGGAGCAGUCUGGAAACGGCAUUGGUCUUAAUGCCAUUCAGACAUUUUGCUUGAUCCGGAAUAUGCCCUUGAUACUUGGAGAUGUUGUACAAGAAGGAAAUGCACACUUCUGUUGCAAAUUAUGAACAUCAUAUUUUCUCCAGUCGUUACUGAUGGCAUGACUGUAUGUCUGAAGCAUCUCAUUGUUGAACAUCAUCAACUUUUCAAACAGCUUUAUCCACAUCGCAAACUGAUUCCUAAACAUAAUUUCAUGACUCAUUAUCCCAGGUCCAUUCGAAAAAUAGGUCCAAUUCUUCAUGUUUGGACAAUGCGAUAUGAAGCCAAGCAUUGGUUUUUCAAGAACACAAUCAAAAAUUUCAAAAAUAUAACAAAGUCGUUGGCUAAAAAACAUCAGAUGGCUAUAGCAUUUCAUUGGGAAUCAACACCUUUCGAAAGUAUUGACUGUGGGCCAGUGAAAACCGUUAAGCUCAAUGCCAUAGAAAAUGGUGAGAUAAUUGCUGAAGAACUACAGGUUGACUUGGACUGUGAAGUUGAUGUGACAUCUUGGAUCACUUGUUUUGGGACAGAAUAUCGCCCAGGCCUUCUGGUUUGCUCAAACAUAGAGGAUUUGCCAGUAUUUAGCCUUUUUUUUCAUUCUUUUAAUGUGAGACGGGGAAAUGACAAAAAUAUUUCAGUUCUAAAAGUUGAUGAGUUGUGCUUGUUUAAGCCAUUUGAUUUGCAAACAACUUAUGGGUUUGACAGAGAUGACCAGUAUGUGGUGCCUGUGCAUGUGUUGCUGUAAGCAACUUGUUGAUUGGUUGCCAGGCACACCAUUGUUUUCUUUAUUUUCAAAACUUUCAAGUUCAAGUUGUUAGUUACAUCAUCUAAAUGUUGAACUAAUUUUCAUUGUUUGACAGAGAUGACCAGUAUGUGGUGCCUGUGCAUGUGUUUUUGUAAGAAACUUGCUUAAAGGGGAAUCCCGGUGUAAAACGGAUUUGGGAUAUGUUUUGUAUGAUAACGAGUUGAAACGUUUGUUUUGGAGCACAGAAAACGCAUAUAGACGCUUUCUUUCUGGCUGUUUUUAGCCGAUUCUAUCAAAACGCUAUAAACUUGGAACAAUGGGGCAGUGGUUAUGGUACUACUUCUAGCCUUUUAAAUGGUUUAAAAUAGCGAUUUAGUUUUUACCAUAACCACUGCCCCCAUUGUUCCAAGUUUAUAGCGUUUUGAUAGAAUCGGCCAGAAACAGCCAACUGAAGAAAGCGUCUAUAUGCGUUUUUUGUGCUCCAAAACGAACGUUUCAACUCGUUAUCAUACAAAACAUACCCCAAAUCCAUUUUACACCGGAAUUCCCCUUUAAUUGGUUGACAGAGACACAUUUAUUUAUUUACUGUAACAACCACAGCAGCAUCAAUAAAAAUGUUUUCAAGAA